UACGUAGGGUGCAAGCGUUGUCCGGAAUUAUUGGGCGUAAAGAGCUCGUAGGCGGUCUGUCGCGUCGGAUGUGAAAAUCCAGGGCUCAACCCUGGACCUGCAUUCGAUACGGGCAGACUAGAGUUCGGUAGGGGAGACUGGAAUUCCUGGUGUAGCGGUGAAAUGCGCAGAUAUCAGGAGGAACACCGGUGGCGAAGGCGGAUCUCUGGGCCGAUACUGACGCUGAGGAGCGAAAGCGUGGGGAGCGAACAGG
rnacentral:rRNA from 1 species